rnacentral:ncRNA from 18 species
AGAAAUUGAAUGUUUACAGGUGCCUUUUAUAAAGGAGAAUAGGAAAGCGGGUGAGAUUCCCGCACGGUCCCGCCGCUGUAUAGGAAGAGCUGCAUUUCAAUCAUGUCACUGGGAAACUGGGAAGGCGGAAUGCGGCAGUGAGGCCUGAGUCAGAAGACCUGCCGUAAACAUGCGAUUUACA